CCCUUAUCGUUCUACCCUUCCUUUCAGCUGUCAAGUAUUUGUGGUUACAAAUGUGGUAAAGUUUAGAGAGCUGUCACGGCAAUUAGCGGACGGUGAGUUUGUCAAAUAGAUCACGUGAUCAGAAAGCUCCAAAACUCCGACAUAGGACUCUAGAAGCGGCGACCACGUAAGCGGCGCACUCUGGACCACAGAUCCCGAUCAUGAUGGGGACAACCUACUUCGAAUAUCCUUCUAUGCCCCGUUGUCAGCGGUGACAGGCUAUCGCCGUUCAGAAGUCCACUGGUGGUGGACUUACCACACCACCACCACCACCGGGCACCGACACCUUUGAGACGCCAGGACUCCGACUAGAGGAAGACGACGGUCCGAUUUGGAGUCACCGUCUGGGAACAGUGUAAACCAGUUUGGGAAUAUCCGGCCCCAGUGCAAGAUGGCGGGAGCGGUCACACCAUAAAAGGUGAGAUUUUCCAAAGCAUUCGAAUCCGCGAAAAAUCGAGCCAUGGUUGCGUUUUCUUUGCCAACAGUGUGCCGCUGUUCCUAGCCUUUACGGCCAGGAAAGGACUUAUGCCAUAUAUACUACUCCCCCUGUUUUACAACUGAACGUUUUUUGUUUGAGAUAUUGCAAAAACAAUUCGUUUUAAAUUACACGGGCACCAACAACAUCGAUGUCGCGCAGUUGCGAAAGCCAAUAGCAAGUCUUUAGCGAGCAGGCCAUGCUGUUUAAGGACCUCUCGUACCGGUCUAUCCAGGAGUUGAAGGACAUACGAGGCACCAAUUCGUCUUUUAGAUCGCACCAAUGGCUUACUCUAUACCUAAAUCAAGAUCCUAAUCGCUGAUGAGAAAUAAGGUGCGUGGAAGUACUUCCUUCAAGCGGCUGUGGUGCACAGUAAAACUGACCUCACUUCCGAGCACUUAGCAUACUUAAGCCUGCGGCAGGAACCACCUAAACGAUUGGUUCCUAUAGUAGCAAAUGACGUACUAGUGCGAAGUGCAGCCUGCAGGAACUGUGUGGACAUAAUAAAUUUUUAUAUGUUUAUUCGGUUCGGUUAAAGUUAUAAACAAGUUAAUGUAGAAUCGAGUAAAUGGAAUCAUUGAUAUUGUAA